rnacentral:rRNA from 1 species
UCUGGUGUCUAUGGUGCGGUGGUACCACCUGAUCCAUCCCGAACUCAGGUGUGAAACGCUGUUACGGUCAAGAUACUUUAGGGGUUGCCCUACGGGAAAAUAGCUCGAUGCCAGAC